rnacentral:rRNA from 1 species
CUGUUCUCGAGCCUAAAAAGCUCGAGAAGUAAGGGCCGGGUAAGACGGGUGCCAGCCGCCGCGGUAAUACCCGCGGCCCGAGUGGUGCUCAUUAUUAUUGAGCCUAAAGCGUCCGUAGCUGGCCGGGCAAAUCUCCGGGUAAAUCGGGCCGCCCAACGGUCCGAAUUCCGGAGACACUGCUCGGCUUGGGAUCGGGAGAGGGUGAAGGUACUCCCGGGGUAGGGGUAAAAUCCUGUAAUCCGGGGGGGACCACCAGUGGCGAAGGCGUUCACCUAGAACGAAUCCGACAGUGAGGGACGAAGCCCUAGGGCGCAAACGGGAAUAGAUACCCCGGUAGUCUAGGGUGUAAACUCUGCAGACUUGGUGUUGGGGGUCCUGCGUGGGCUCCCAGUGCCGGAGUGAAGAUGUUAAGUCUGCCGCUUGGGGAGUACGGUCGCAAGACUGAAACUUAA